AGUGAACGCUGGCGGUAGGCCUAACACAUGCAAGUCGAACGGCAGCACAGUAAGAGCUUGCUCUUACGGGUGGCGAGUGGCGGACGGGUGAGGAAUACAUCGGAAUCUACUUUUUCGUGGGGGAUAACGUAGGGAAACUUACGCUAAUACCGCAUACGACCUACGGGUGAAAGCAGGGGAUCUUCGGACCUUGCGCGAUUGAAUGAGCCGAUGUCGGAUUAGCUAGUUGGCGGGGUAAAGGCCCACCAAGGCGACGAUCCGUAGCUGGUCUGAGAGGAUGAUCAGCCACACUGGAACUGAGACACGGUCCAGACUCCUACGGGAGGCAGCAGUGGGGAAUAUUGGACAAGGGGCGCAAGCCUGAUCCAGCCAUACCGCGUGGGUGAAGAAGGCCUUCGGGUGGGAAAGCCCUUUUGUUGGGAAAGAAAAGCAGCAGGUUAAUACCCCGCUGUUCUGACGGUACCCAAAGAAUAAGCACCGGCUAACUUCGUG
rnacentral:rRNA from 1 species